UAUCCUGUUAGAUUUCCUGC
rnacentral:siRNA from 1 species